AUUGAACGCUGGCGGCAUGCCUUACACAUGCAAGUCGAACGCGAAAGGGGGGCAACUCCUGAGUAGAGUGGCGCACGGGCGAGUAAUGCAUCGGAACGUGUCCUGUAGCGGGGGAUAACCUAUCGAAAGCUAGGCUAAUACCGCAUACGUCCUACGGGAGAAAGUGGGGGAUCGUAAGACCUCACACUAUAGGAGCGGCCGAUGCCGGAGUAGCUGGUUGGUGGGGUAAAAGCCUACCAAGGCGACGAUCCGUAGCCAGUCUGAGAGGAAGAUCAGCCACACUGGGACUGAGACACGGCCCAGACUCCUACGGGAGGCAGCAGUGGGGAAUUUUGGACAAUGGGGGAAACCCUGAUCCAGCCAUGCCGCGUGAGUGAAGAAGGCCUUCGGGUUGUAAAGCUCUUUCGGCCGGGACGAAAUCGCACGCGUGAAUAUCGCGUGUGGAUGACGGUACCGGAAGAAGAGGGACCGGCUAACUACGUGCCAGCCGCCGCCGUAA
rnacentral:rRNA from 1 species